AUCCUCUUUUAAUACUUUGUCUGUGAUGUCCUUAUAGACUUUGUCGGAUCCUCUAUAAGGACAUCACAGACAAAGUAUUAAAAGAGGAU
rnacentral:sRNA from 1 species